UACGUAGGGUGCGAGCGUUAAUCGGAAUUACUGGGCGUAAAGGGCCAGUAGGCGGCCAACUAAGUCGGACGUGAAAUCCCCAGGCUCAACCUGGGAACUGCGUCCGAUACUGGAUGGCUUGAAUUCGGGAGAGGGAUGCAGAAUUCCAGGUGUAGCGGUGAAAUGCGUAGAUAUCUGGAGGAAUACCGGUGGCGAAGGCGGCAUCCUGGACCGACAUUGACGCUGAACGGCGAAAGCUAGGGGAGCAAACGGG
rnacentral:rRNA from 1 species